GACGAACGCUGGCGGCGUGCUUAACACAUGCAAGUCGAACGGGCCUUGUCCCCUUUUUUUUUGGGGGUGGGGUUAGUGGCGAACGGGUGAGUAACACGUGAGUAACCUGCCCCUCACUUCUGGAUAACCGCUUGAAAGGGUGGCUAAUACGGGGUGUUCUGGCCUGCUCGCAUGGGUGGGUUUGGAAAGAUUCGACCGGUUUUGGUUGUUUUGGUGGGGGAUGGGCUCGCGGCCUAUCAGCUUGUUGGUGGGGUGAUGGCCUGCCAAGGCUUUGACGGGUAGCCGGCCUGAGAGGGUGGGCGGUCACACUGGGACUGAGACACGGCCCAGACUCCUACGGGAGGCGGCAGUGGGGAAUAUUGCACAAUGGGCGCAAGCCUGAUGCAGCGACGCCGCGUGAGGGAUGGAGGCCUUCGGGUUGUGAACCUCUUUCGCCAGUGAAGAAGGUCCUGCUCUUUGUGGUGGGGUUGACGGUAGCUGGGUUAAUGAAGCGCCGGCUAACUACGUG
rnacentral:rRNA from 1 species